rnacentral:rRNA from 1 species
CCUACGGGAGGCAGCAGUGAGGAAUAUUGGUCAAUGGCCGGAAGGCUGAACCAGCCAAGCCGCGUGAAGGACGAAGGUGCCAAGCAUUGUAAACUUCUUUUGUCAAGGGACAAAAUCAGGCUCGAGAGCCUGACCGAGGGUACUUGAAGAAAAAGCAUCGGCUAACUCCGUGCCAGCAGCCGCGGUAAUACGGAGGAUGCGAGCGUUAUCCGGAUUUAUUGGGUUUAAAGGGUGCGUAGGCGGACUGUUAAGUCAGCGGUAAAAGCCCGGGGCUCAACCCCGGCGAGCCGUUGAAACUGGGGGUCUUGAGAUGUCGAGAGGUAUGCGGAAUGCGCGGUGUAGCGGUGAAAUGCAUAGAUAUCACGCAGAACUCCGAUUGCGAAGGCAGCAUACCGGCGCCCUACUGACGCUGAGGCACGAAAGCGUGGGUAUCGAACAGGAUUAGAUACCCCGGUAGUC